rnacentral:rRNA from 1 species
GUCCUUUAGAGUAUAAUUAAAGGUUUAACCUGCCCACUGAAAAAUUUGAAUGGCCGCAGUAAAUUGACUGUGCAAAGGUAGCAUAAUCAAUAGUUUUUUAAUUAAAAGCUUGUAUGAAUGGUUGGACGAGAUAAAAUCUGUCUUUAGGUUAAAUAUAGAAUUUAAUUUUUAAGUUAAAAAGCUUAAAUAAGAUUAAAAGACGAGAAGACCCUAUAGAUCUUAAUAAUUAUUAAGUUAAAAAUAUAUAGGAAUAGGAUUUAUUAUAAUUUAAUAAUUAUUUUAUUGGGGUAAUAGAAAGAUUUAAUAAAUUCUUUUUUAUUAAUAACAGUAAUUUUUGAAUUGUUGAUCCAUUAUUAAUGAUUAAAAGAUUAAGUUACCUUAGGGAUAACAGCGUAAUUUUUUUAAAGAGUUCAUAUCGAUAAAAAAGUUUGCGACCUCGAUGUUGGAUUAAAAAUUAUUCUAGGUGUAGUAGUUUAGAAUUUUGGUCUGUUCGACCAUUAAAUUUUUACA